rnacentral:rRNA from 1 species
UACGGAGGGAGCUAGCGUUGUUCGGAAUUACUGGGCGUAAAGCGCACGUAGGCGGCUUUGUAAGUUAGAGGUGAAAGCCCGGGGCUCAACCCCGGAAUUGCCUUUAAGACUGCAUCGCUUGAAUCCGGGAGAGGUGAGUGGAAUUCCGAGUGUAGAGGUGAAAUUCGUAGAUAUUCGGAAGAACACCAGUGGCGAAGGCGGCUCACUGGACCGGUAUUGACGCUGAGGAGCGAAAGCGUGGGGGAGCGAACAGG